GAUCGCUAAACUCUCAGAAAUCAUAAGCAAAUUCUACCUGAGUAACGUAUGGAAAAAGCUGUUAAUUUGCACUACAUGUACACGCAUUUAGGGCAAGCAUUUAGGAUCGCGAGUAGGGAAGUCUGGGAACCACUAGAUCGGCUUGUAUAGAUUAUCAUUCCUAGUCUCGUUACGCCCAGUAGCCUUACACUCGUUUGCAUUUCCCAUGUGUUUCUUUGAGGUGGUAGUAGAAUUAUUAUUUUCCUUGUAGUAGUAGUAAUAGUAGUAAAAAAAAAUCUACCUUAAGUUAGAAGAUGAGAACGACUUUAAAAAUUUAAUUAUCUAAGUGAAAUCAAACCUCCAGUAAAAUUACCCUGAUUUUCCACGUCACUGGGAUCAAACUAGUAGGUCGAAACACCAAUUAGCAUAUAACACACCCGAAAACACUGCAAAAAAUCACAAUUUGAAAAUAACAGCAAAUCUUUAAGGCGUAAAACUAAUUUGUCCUUCAUCACGAAGAAGCGAAGGAAAUCAACAUAGAUAUAAGAAAAAAAUUAGAUCGGCUCGAUUAUAAGGUUUCGAAACAGUCUCGGAUCUUACUUCUUGGCUCAAACUGGCUGCAGAGUUAUCAAUUUGAACAUCGCAAUAAAUCCUUAAGGCACAAAACUAAUCAAACAAUCACAACAAGACGAAAAAACGAAGAAAAUCAAUAUAAACAUAGGGAAAAAAUACACUGAUUCACUUUUAAGGUUUCAAAGCGGUCUCGGAUCCUGCUUCCUAUUUCUCAUUGGAUCUGGACGUUGUGCCGCCAGUGGCCGCGGAGGGUAGCAGGCUGCGUGGUGUGUGUUGCUGCUGCUUAUGAGGCGCUGUUGGGAAUGUCUCAGACGGAGUUAAGUUUCUUUACACUAGCAAAGACUCUGUUAAAUUUUUCGCUCUUGUUGUUUAUUAUUAUUAUUAUUAUUACUAUUAAUUCUAUUGCUAUUAUUAUUUCAUUAUUUUUAUUGCUAUUUAUAAUUUCUAUUAGUAGUAGUAGUAGUACUUAUUGUAUUUUAUUUUUAGUCUUUAUGGUAUGUUUCAUUAUUUUAUUAGUCCAGGUAGCUUUUUUUUUUAUUUAUUAAUUUCAGUGUUAUUUUUAAUAUCUUAAUAAUUCAUGUGUAUAGUUCAUAUUUCUUUACUUUUCUCUGUUGGUACGUUUACAAGUAUUGUUCGUUUUUUUUUUUUUCUUGUGUGCGUAUAUACUUUACCGUGGAGUAGUUUCCCCACUAUUGUCAUCCACUUUUCAAUGGCGAGUGUCGCUGUUUGCUCGUGGCGGUGGUGAGUGCGGCAUAUCGAUCCUGUCUGGCUGGUGAAUGAAGCGGGGCGAGCUUGUGGCGACGUGAUGUAUCGUGGGGCGCCCUUCAGCCUUUCUCCUGCUCUCCCUUCAGUAAUUUGGCGCGCUCAAUAGCCUGUCUCUUAAUACCUGAUAAGAUGUUCGUGGUUACCCAUUCAAAUCUCAAGGAAUGCAAGGCCCUAUUUUCAUGGUUUUCAAAUAUUUUCAACUCGAUGGCAGCAGGAGGACGGGGCAGAGCCUCCCUCGGGAUCUACCAGCCAUUAGAGAGUAAGCAGUGCUGCAGUGUGUGACGCAAGCAGGGAAGGGAAAGCUACGGUGAAGCUGAUGGGUAUCUAUACUUCAUAGAUUUUUCUAAAAUAUAUUCAUGUAGAUUUAGUUUGUCAUGUAUUUUUCCGGAGUUUUCUAUUCUCUUUCAGAUAAAGGAGUAUUUUUUUUUUUUUUUUUCUGGUGGAGGGUAAUGCUUUUUGGUGCAGGGAGCAGUGACUCAGUCUCCACUCCCCGCCACCGCCAGUUGGUUCUGCUUACUCGUGUCAACACAAACGGAAACUCCUUGAACCUCCACCACCACCUUGUGCCGCUCAAGCCUCAAGUGAGCGUCGAUCCACAUGGAGCUUUACACACUUGACUAAGUAAGCCUUCUGUAGACGCAACCCUCGACAAGCAAAUGUUCCUGUGAAGAUCGC